UACGUAGGUGGCGAGCGUUGUCCGGAAUUACUGGGUGUAAAGGGCGUGUAGGCGGGAUAGCAAGUCAGAUGUGAAAUUCCGGGGCUUAACCCCGGCGCUGCAUCUGAAACUGUUAUUCUUGAGUGUUGGAGAGGAAAGUGGAAGUCCCAGUGUAGCGGUGAAAUGCGUAGAGAUUGGGAGGAACACCAGUGGCGAAGGCGGCUUUCUGGACGAUAACUGACGCUGAGGCGCGAAAGCGUGGGGAGCAAACAGG
rnacentral:rRNA from 1 species